rnacentral:rRNA from 1 species
GACGAACGCUGGCGGCGUGCUUAACACAUGCAAGUCGAACGGAAAGGCCCUGCUUGCAGGGUGCUCGAGUGGCGAACGGGUGAGUAACACGUGGGUGAUCUGCCCCUUACUUUGGGAUAAGCCUGGGAAACUGGGUCUAAUACUGGAUAGGACCAUGCUGUAGGUGGUGUGGUGGAAAGAUUAGUUUCGGUAAGGGAUGAGCUCGCGGCCUAUCAGCUUGUUGGUGGGGUAAUGGCCUACCAAGGCGUCGACGGGUAGCCGGCCUGAGAGGGUGGACGGCCACCUUGGGACUGAGAUACGGCCCAGACUCCUACGGGAGGCAGCAGUGGGGAAUAUUGCACAAUGGGCGCAAGCCUGAUGCAGCGACGCCGCGUGGGGGAUGACGGCCUUCGGGUUGUAAACUCCUUUCAGCCAUGACGAAGCCCUUGUGGUGACGGUAGUGGUAGAAGAAGCACCGGCUAACUACGUG